UCUUUGUUUUCUACCUGUCAACUGUCAGUUUAGGCUGCUCGCUGUCUCCUCAUCACCACUUCAAGAUGGCGGCCGAAUUUCUCGCAUCAUAGCAGCCAAUGCUGUAUCUAGUUAUAAGAUGUCUAUGAUGCUGCGUGCAGCAGGUGUCACCGGACGUAAUUUGCUCUGAUUGACCUGUUACCCGGAAGUGUUAGAUUCCGAACCCCUUUUGGAAUCAAUCAAUCGCCAUUAAGUCAUUAGACUUGUUAUGUAAACUAUGUUAUGUCUCGUUUCUUCGUUAUUUAGAGCUUGGUUUCACGUCAGCAAAUUAUGUUCAUAAAACGAUGUCAUUAUAACCAGAUACAAUAGUUUUUUGGACAUAACUGUGAAAAGUCGACGUGUGAUUUAGCGCUCAAUGCGGCGUCUACAUUGUAUGUCCAUGACUACGUCGUCUGGAAAAUGUGUUUCUACCGGCCCUAUUAAUAUCUGCGGUAAACCAUUGUUAGGUACCUGAGGACAAAUUCGUCCUGAACGUUACCUUGCAGAACCCAGCAGGAAGAAGAAGCUGAAACGUUGGAGCAGACGGAAGCCGAGAGAGUGCGACAUGGUCACGCUGAAAAUCUGGAACUUUGAGCAAAGCUAUUGCGAAUAAUGGAUUGCUUACCCAAAUCAACUGGAAACGUCCCCGGCCAGCUUCACCAAACGGACAACUGUCCAUCGAAUUUUGCAGUCUUGCUACGUCGUGACGUCAGAGCGAGGCGGACAUUCUUAUUUGGAUAUUAAGUCAAACUUUCAGCCGCGGACCUCUGCUUCAGGCAUUGAAGAAACAAAAAAAAAGGGGGUCUUCAGCAUCGUCCCCCAGGACAACAGUACUGAGGUGGGCGUCACCGACCCGAUGACCAAGUGAAGUGGUUUCUCCAG